CACGUAGGGCGCAAGCGUUGUCCGGAAUUAUUGGGCGUAAAGAGCUCGUAGGCGGUCUGUUACGUCUGCUGUGAAAACCCGGGGCUUAACCCUGGGCUUGCAGUGGAUACGGGCAGACUAGAGGCAGGUAGGGGAGAGUGGAAUUCCUGGUGUAGCGGUGAAAUGCGCAGAUAUCAGGAGGAACACCCGUGGCGAAAGCGGCUCUCUGGGACGGUACUGACGCUGAGACGCGAAAGCGUGGGGAGCAAACAGG
rnacentral:rRNA from 1 species